rnacentral:misc_RNA from 1 species
CCAAUAGCGUAUAUUAAAGUUGUUGCAGUUAAAAAGCUCGUAGUUGAAUUUCGGGGUUAGUAAGUUGGUCGUGCCACUGGUAUGUACUGGCUUUACUGAUUCCUCCUUCUUGUAGAACCGUAAUGCCAUUAAGUUGGUGUUGCGGGGAAACAGGACUGUUACUUUGAAAAAAUUAGAGUGUUUAAAGCAAGCUAACGCUUGAAUACAUUAGCAUGGAAUAAUGAAAUAGGACGUUCGAUCCUAUUUUGUUGGUUUCUAGGAUUGACGUAAUGAUUAAUAGGGAUAGUUUGGGGCAUUAGUAUUCAAUUGUCAGAGGUGAAAUUCUUGGAUUUAUUGAAGACUAACUACUGCGAAAGCAUUUGCCAAGGAUGUUUUCAUUAAUCAAGAACGAAAGUUAGGGGAUCGAAGACGAUCAGAUACCGUCGUAGUCUUAACCAUAAACUAUGCCGACUAGGGAUCGGAUGAUGUUAAUUUUAUAAUGACUCAUUCGGCGCCUUACG